rnacentral:rRNA from 1 species
GGGGAAUAUUGCACAAUGGGGGAAACCCUGAUGCAGCAACGCCGCGUGAGUGAUGAAGGUUUUCGGAUCGUAAAGCUCUGUUGCCAGGGAAGAACGUCCGUUAGAGUAACUGCUAACGGAGUGACGGUACCUGAGAAGAAAGCCCCGGCUAACUACGUGCCAGCAGCCGCGGUAAUACGUAGGGGGCGAGCGUUGUCCGGAAUUAUUGGGCGUAAAGCGCGCGCAGGCGGCUGUUUAAGUCUGGUGUUUAAUCCUGGGGCUCAACCCCGGGUCGCACUGGAAACUGGACAGCUUGAGUGCAGAAGAGGAGAGUGGAAUUCCACGUGUAGCGGUGAAAUGCGUAGAGAUGUGGAGGAACACCAGUGGCGAAGGCGACUCUCUGGGCUGUAACUGACGCUGAGGCGCGAAAGCGUGGGGAGCAAAC